rnacentral:lncRNA from 1 species
CCCCAUGUCAGAUUUGCUCUAAAUGCUUCCGUUUUUGAGAUAUAAGCCAAAAACUGCAUUUGACCCCUAUGUUCUAUUUUAAGUAACGGCGGCCAUGUUUUUUGACGGAUCAAAAAUCGAAGCACACACUUUGUGCAGGAUAAUCUAAGGAACAAUCAUGCUAAGUUUCAUCCAAAUCCAUUAGUAGUUUCAGAGGAGAAGAUUUUUUAAAGUUAGCAAAUAUGAUGAACAAAUUGUGAAAAAUUGUCAUUAAAGGACAUUUACCCCUUAAGGGGUCAAUUGACAAUUUUGGUCAUAUUAACCUAUUUGUAGAUCUUACUUUGCUGAUCAUUUUGCUGUUUACAGUUUAUCUUUAUCUAUAAUGAUAUUCAAGAUAAUGACCAAAAACUGCAAAAUUUCCUUAAAAUUACCAAUUAAGUGGCAGCAACCCAACAAUGGUUUGUUUGAUUUGUCUGAAAAUUUCAGGGCUGAUAGAUCUUGACCUAAUGAACAUUUUUACCCCAUGUCAGAUUUGCUCUAAAUGCUUUCGUUUUUGAGAUAUAAGCCAAAAACUGCAUUUGACCCCUAUGUUCUAUUUAAAGUAAGGGCGGCCAUGUUUUUUGACGGAUCAAAAAUCGAAGCACACACUUUGUGCAGGAUAAUCUAAGGAACAAUCAUUUUAAGUUUCAU